UCCUCGAUGGCUCAGAGGAUAGAGCGUCUGCCAGGUAUGCAGGAGAUCCCGGGUUUGAAUCCCGGUCGGGGAA